rnacentral:rRNA from 1 species
UACGGAGGGUGCAAGCGUUAUUCGGAAUCAUUGGGCGUAAAGGGCGCGUAGGCGGUCUUUUAAGUCAGAUGUGAAAGCCCUCGGCUUAACCGAGGAAGUGCAUUUGAUACUAAAAGACUUGAGUAUGGGAGAGGGAAGCGGAAUUCCUGGUGUAGCGGUGAAAUGCGUAGAUAUCAGGAGGAACACCGGUGGCGAAGGCGGCUUCCUGGACCAAUACUGACGCUGAGGCGCGAAGGCGUGGGGAGCAAACAGG